AAAACACAGCACUCUGCAAACACGAAAGUGGACGUAUAGGGUGUGAUGCCUGCCCGGUGCUGGAAGGUUAAUUGAUGGGGUUAGCGUAAGCGAAGCUCUUGAUCGAAGCCCCAGUAAACGGCGGCCGUAACUAUAACGGUCCUAAGGUAGCGAAAUUCCUUGUCGGGUAAGUUCCGACCUGCACGAAUGGCAUAAUGAUGGCAGCGCUGUCUCCAGCAGAGACUCAGUGAAAUCGAAAUCGCAGUGAAGAUGCUGUGUACCCGCGGCUAGACGGUAAGACCCCGUGAACCUUUACUACAGCUUUACAUUGAACUUUGACCUAACUUGUGUAGGAUAGGUGGGAGGCUUUGAAGCAGAUACGCCAGUAUCUGUGGAGCCAACCUUGAAAUACCACCCUGGUUAUGUUGGGGUUCUAACUUGGAUAUAACAGUAUCAAGGACAAUGUAUGGUGGGUAGUUUGACUGGGGCGGUCUCCUCCUAAAGAGUAACGGAGGAGUACGAAGGUGCGCUCAGAACGGUCGGAAAUCGUUCAAAGAGUAUAAAGGCAAAAGCGCGCUUAACUGCGAGACCCACAAGUCGAGCAGGUACGAAAGUAGGUCUUAGUGAUCCGGUGGUUCUGUAUGGAAGGGCCAUCGCUCAACGGAUAAAAGGUACUCUGGGGAUAACAGGCUGAUACCGCCCAAGAGUUCAUAUCGACGGCGGUGUUUGGCACCUCGAUGUCGGCUCAUCUCAUCCUGGGGCUGAAGCAGGUCCCAAGGGUAUGGCUGUUCGCCAUUUAAAGAGGUACGCGAGCUGGGUUUAGAACGUCGUGAGACAGUUCGGUCCCUAUCUACCGUGGGCGUUGGAAAUU
rnacentral:rRNA from 1 species